GAAAUUCCUCUUGCUCAGGAAGGAUGUUCUGUCCCCUAACUCGGGACGACUGUUUGGUCCCUCUACGGAAGCCACCACGUUUAGGGCCCAUGCUCACUGUCACAAGAAACAAUUGUUCAGUAAAAUUGGAAAGCACAAAGUGCGGAGUCUACAGGAAGUUAAACCUAAUGCUCUGAUACCAAGUUGAUAGGACCCGACCUAAAUUCUCCUUUGGAAUUCGAGCCGAACCCUGUUCGUGAUCGACACCUGGCGGGUGCCGAGCACAAAUGACCUGGUUGCCCUUCUGGUUACA
rnacentral:lncRNA from 1 species